AAAGGUCCAAAUGGACAAAUAACAAAAUGAUAUCAUCAUAAAUAAUAUGAUAUGAAAUGCUAAACAUAAAGUAUAAAGUAAAUGACAUAAAGUAAAGCAUAAAGUAAGUGUCAUUAAAAUAGAAGUUAAUACAAGUGAAGAGUUAGUAAAGGAUGUUAGUAAAGAUGAAAAGAUGUUUUGAUCAUUUUUUAGAGAACACUCAACUAUCCACUCACAAGCAUGAAAAUAUGAACCUAUACAUCAUUUGUAAGAAGGGCUCCAACUUG
rnacentral:lncRNA from 1 species